AUGAACGCUGGCGGCGUGCCUAAUACAUGCAAGUCGAGCGAACGGACGAGAAGCUUGCUUCUCUGAUGUUAGCGGCGGACGGGUGAGUAACACGUGGAUAACCUACCUAUAAGACUGGGAUAACUUCGGGAAACCGGAGCUAAUACCGGAUAAUAUUUUGAACCGCAUGGUUCAAAAGUGAAAGACGGUCUUGCUGUCACUUAUAGAUGGAUCCGCGCUGCAUUAGCUAGUUGGUAAGGUAACGGCUUACCAAGGCAACGAUGCAUAGCCGACCUGAGAGGGUGAUCGGCCACACUGGAACUGAGACACGGUUCAGACUCCUACGGGAGGCAGCAGUAGGGAAUCUUCCGCAAUGGGCGAAAGCCUGACGGAGCAACGCCGCGUGAGUGAUGAAGGUCUUCGGAUCGUAAAACUCUGUUAUUAGGGAAGAACAUAUGUGUAAGUAACUGUGCACAUCUUGACGGUACCUAAUCAGAAAGCCACGGCUAACUACGUG
rnacentral:rRNA from 1 species